CAGUUGAGGGCAGCGGGUUAUUUUGGUGGACCAGAGGUGUUAGAGGUAGAGAAAAAAUUAGAAAAGGAGCUAUCAAAAAAAAGUUUUUAGAAGAAAAAAUCAAGAUACAAGUGGCUGAAAGAAGGGGAUAGCAACACAAAGUUCUUUCAUCAGAAGUUCCAUGCUAGAAACUAAAAAAAUAAAAUUUGGAGACUAGUUUGAAAUGAUGGUGAGAUGGUUUCAGAUCCACAAAAUAUUGCUCUGGUGGCUAAAAAUUAUUUCAAGAAAAUAUUUUCAUCCCAUAACCCAUUAUAACCUGGUGAUAUAUUCAGUGAUUUUAGUCCUCCAGUUAUAGUUUUCAUGAACCGGGAAAAUGAGACCAAUCUUUGUGGAGAAAACUAAGAUAUUUACUUUCAGCGUUUGUCCUCAAAUUGCUCCAAGUGAGGAUGGCUUUACAAUAUGAUUUUUUCAAUUUUAUUGAGACAUUGUGAGUGCUAAUAUUUUUCAGGCGGUUCGUAGCUUCUUUGGUGGAGGUAAAAUUUUCAAGGCGUUUAACCAUACAAAGAUUUGCUUGAUCCCUAAGAUCCCGAAUGCUAGAGACAUGUCACAGGUUAGAUCUAUUAGCUUAUCCUCAGUUUUUUAUAAGAUUAUUUCUAAAGUUCUGGUACAUAGACUUCAGGAUUAUUUUAUGAAUAAUUUAAUAAGUCUAAACUAGAGUGCAUUUUAAAGGGUAGAUUAAUUUCUGAUAAUAUUGUAAUAACUCAUGAAUGUAUGCACUACCUCAAAACUAAGAGGUGCGGAUUGGAAUGUGAAAUGACUAUUAAAUUGGAUAUGAGUAAAGUAUAUGAUAGAGUUGAAUGGAGUUUUUUAUGGUUCAUCAUGGAGAAAACGGGUUUUGAAACCAGAUGGAUUUCUUGGAUCAGAGAACUAGUCACUACUGUUUCUUACUCUAUUCUUGUGGAAGGUCAAUAUUAUGACUUUUUUAAGCCAAAAAGGGGUAUCCGGCAAGGAGAUCCCUUGUCACCUUAUCUAUUUCUAUUCUGUGCGAAAGGAUUAUCCUAUCUGUUACACAAGGCAGAGCAAAACAUGUCUAUUCAGGAAAUUCAGAUUCACAAAAGGUCUCCAACAGUCAAUCAUCUUCUCUUUGCUGACGACUCUAUUUUAUUUGAAAAGAUUCUCUAGUGAAAGACAUACACAUGAUUCUAAGAUAGUUUUGGUGGGGUCAGAAGGGAGUGGAGAGAAAUAUGGCUUGAGUUAGUUGAGAUUGUAUGACCAGACCCAAAAAAGAAGGCAGAUUAGGAUUCAAGGAUCUUAGAGCCCAGAACCUAGCCUUGUUGGGUAAACAGUUUUGGCGAAUUACUACUAAGUCUAAUUCGCAAUUUGCGAAUAUGCUCAAAGAAAAAAAAACUAUAGAUACACUAACUCCCUUUUGGCAGAUAAAGGAAACCAACCUUCUUGGGGUUGGCAAAGUCUACUGGAGGAAAGAAAAAUGGUAGAAAAGGGUUUGGAAUGGAGUAUAGGAUCUGACACAAAUGUUCGUAUCUGGGAGGACUCAUGGUUACUCCCACCCUAACUUUUUAGACUUAGUAACAACAACAAUCCAAUAAUAGACAUUCAUUGGUUACAUGAUUUACUUAGAGUAGAUGAAAGAUGAAAUAACGAGCUAGUUGAAGCAA